AUACGGAGGAUCCGAGCGUUAUCCGGAUUUAUUGGGUUUAAAGGGUGCGCAGGCGGCCAUUUAAGUCAGCGGUUAAAUCGUGGGGCUCAACCCCAUUCUGCCGUUGAUACUGGGUGGCUUGAUUGCGGUCGAGGUUAGCGGAAUUCGUUGUGUAGCGGUGAAAUGCAUAGAUAUGACGAAGAACACCGAUUGCGUAGGCAGCUGACCAGACCGCAAAUGACGCUCAUGCACGAAAGUGCGGGGAUCGAACAGGAUUAGAUACCCUGGUAGUCCGCACAGUAAACGAUGAAUACUUGUUUUCGGCGAUAUAAUGUCGGAGGCAAAGCGAAAGCGAUAAGUAUUCCACCUGGGGAGUACGCCGGCAACGGUGAAACUCAAAGGAAUUGGCGGGG
rnacentral:rRNA from 1 species